UAUCUCUGUAGAGUCUGCAUAUCAAUAAGCGGAGGAAAAGAAACUAACUAGGAUUCCCUCAGUAACGGCGAGUGAAGCGGGAAGAGCUCAAAUUUGAAAUCUUCAAGGUUCUACCUUGACGAAUUGUAGUUUAAAGAAGUGUUUUCUGUUGGUAGUUUUGGUAAAAGUUCUUUGGAAUAGGACAUCAUAGAGGGUGAGAAUCCCGUAUUUGACCAUUAUUUCCAGCUUUGUGAUACACUUUCAAAGAGUCGGAUUGUUUGGGAAUGCAGUCCAAAAUGGGUGGUAAAUUUCAUCUAAAGCUAAAUACUGGCGAGAGACCGAUAGCGAACAAGUACCGUGAGGGAAAGAUGAAAAGAACUUUGAAAAGAGAGUUAAACAGUACGUGAAAUUGUCAAAAGGGAAGCGUUUGACACCAGUGUUGUUUUCUCGAAAAUCAAUUAAAAAAGGCAGGAUUUUGUGUUGUAUUGACUUUAUCAGCUUUCUGCACUCUUUUCUUGUCUUUUUUAAUGCACUUUUCGUUUAACAAGUCAACAUCAAUUUCUUUUGUUGUAAAAGGGUCAUUGGAAGGUGGCUUUCUUUUCGGAGAAAGUGUUUAUAGCCUUUGGCCUCUGCAAUCGGAGAGAUUGAGGUCUGCAGCGUAGAUCCUUCGGGGUUAGAUACAUUUGUGCUAAGUUAUAGCCUUUCAUAGACAACUUGUUGACUAUGAUCAGUCAUGUAGCUUACUCGCUUAUGCUAUUUUACCUACGCUUAGGAUGUUGACGAUCAGCUGAGCGCG
rnacentral:rRNA from 1 species